UGCAAACAGCUGUCUUGAUGUAAUCGUAAUGGCGGCUAAGGAAAAGGGAAUUGAUGUGUUGGCAGCAAAUUCCUACGUUGUAGUUACCUGGCUACCACCACUUGAUUUGGACCCGUUUUUAUCGUUUCCAGAUGACAUAGCAUCCAAGGAUUAUGUUCUGCUACCUGCUUGGAAGCCAUGACACUGGAUGCUAUGUGUAUGUUGUUUCCUUCAUUUUUUAAAAUAUUUUUUUCAAUAUAAUGCUGCAUAA